rnacentral:rRNA from 2 species
GAGACAGGUGCUGCAUGGCUGUCGUCAGCUCGUGUUGUGAAAUGUUGGGUUAAGUCCCGCAACGAGCGCAACCCUUAUCCUUUGUUGCCAGCGAUUCGGUCGGGAACUCAAAGGAGACUGCCGGUGAUAAACCGGAGGAAGGUGGGGAUGACGUCAAGUCAUCAUGGCCCUUACGAGUAGGGCUACACACGUGCUACAAUGGCGCAUACAAAGAGAAGCGACCUCGCGAGAGCAAGCGGACCUCACAAAGUGCGUCGUAGUCCGGAUCGGAGUCUGCAACUCGACUCCGUGAAGUCGGAAUCGCUAGUAAUCGUGGAUCAGAAUGCCACGGUGAAUACGUUCCCGGGCCUUGUACACACCGCCCGUCACACCAUGGGAGUGGGUUGCAAAAGAAGUAGGUAGCUU